rnacentral:rRNA from 1 species
UACGUAGGGGGCAAGCGUUAUCCGGAUUUACUGGGUGUAAAGGGAGCGCAGACGGCAGUGCAAGUCUGAUGUGAAAGCCCGGGGCUCAACCCCGGAACUGCAUUGGAAACUGUACAGCUUGAGUGUCGGAGAGGUAAGCGGAAUUCCUAGUGUAGCGGUGAAAUGCGUAGAUAUCGGGAGGAACACCGGUGACGAAGGCGGCUUUCUGGCCAGUUACUGACGCUCAUGCGCGAGAGCUGGGUUAGCGAACCGGAUUAGAUACCCCUGUA